GGAACUUGUCUGUUCCCUGCUGUAUCUCUGUUGCCUAAAGUGCUCUCUGACACAUGACAUUUUUAGACUGAAUGAAUGUCAUGAAGGAGUGAAUGAAUGAAUUCUCUCGCUGUUCAUAGAGGGAGGAAGAGAGCAAUCUACCUGGAGAACCGGAAGGAGAGAUGGUGGCUGAGACGCUGCCCCUGCCUGUCUGCACCGACUGGAGAGACCGAGGCCCAUCAGCGUUCUGAGCCUGCCCCACCAGGAUUUCUCCUGUAUCAGCUCUUUCUGACUCACCCACUGGGUUCUGUUCCAAGAAGAUGAUUUCCCUACAUCUGGGUUCUGCUUUUUAGCCAUGCCUGUAAUUUCUGUUCUCAGUUCCAUGGCACUCGGAUCCACGCUUCCCUGAGGACCUCAUCCCUGACCCCAUGGGCUCAGAACCUAACACGUUGCCAAGCUGGUCCCGGCUCCAACAGCGUUUCAAGCAGCACGUUUUGUGUCCGGGUGUGUGUGCAUUUCCUGGGGCUGCCGUGGCAGAGCACCACAGACAGGGGGGCUCAGAACAACGGAAAUUCAUCAUCUCACAGCUCUGGAGGGUAGAAGUUCCAAAUCAAGGUGCUGGCAGGCCCAGGCUCCUUCUGCAACUUGUAGGGGAAGGGUCCUUCCUUUCUCCUGCUGGCUUCGCUGGUUUGCUG
rnacentral:lncRNA from 1 species